rnacentral:rRNA from 1 species
GUACUUAUGGAUGGACCCGCGUCGCAUUAGCUAGUUGGUGAGGUAACGGCUCACCAAGGCAACGAUGCGUAGCCGACCUGAGAGGGUGAUCGGCCACACUGGGACUGAGACACGGCCCAGACUCCUACGGGAGGCAGCAGUAGGGAAUCUUCCGCAAUGGACGAAAGUCUGACGGAGCAACGCCGCGUGAGUGAUGAAGGCUUUCGGGUCGUAAAACUCUGUUGUAGGGAAGAACAAGUGCUAGUUGAAUAAGCUGGCACCUUGACGGUACCUAACCAGAAAGCCACGGCUAACUACGUGCCAGCAGCCGCGGUAAUACGUAGGUGCAAGCGUUAUCCGGAAUUAUUGGGCGUAAAGCGCGCGCAGGUGGUUUCUUAAGUCUGAUGUGAAAGCCCACGGCUCAACCGUGGAGGGUCAUUGGAAACUGGGAGACUUGAGUGCAGAAGAGGAAAGUGGAAUUUCCAUGUGUAGCGGUGAAAUGCGUAGAGAUAUGGAGGAACACCAGUGGCGAAGGCGACUUUCUGGUCUGUAACUACACUGAGGCGCGAAAGCGUGGGGAGCAACAGGAUUAGAUACCCUGGUAGUCCACGCCGUAAACGAUGAGUGCUAAGUGUUAGAGGGUUUCCGCCCUUUAGUGCUGAAGUUAACGCAUUAAGCACUCCGCCUGGGGGAGUACGGCCGCAAGGCUGAAACUCAAAGGAAUUGACGGGGGCCCGCCAAG